rnacentral:lncRNA from 1 species
UUGCAAUAUUCUUUCUAAUUAACAUUUUACAAAUCCUUUUAGUCACAUAACAAGAAUAUAUUGAAGAUUCUUUAUUUACUAAACCAGAUAUCGCGAUGUCGCGAGUACAUAUAAUUAUCGUAUUUUACCGAGUUACAUCGGUUUAGUGUUUACAUUUAGGGAUCGGGGCGUGACAAGCUUUCAUAGUCUUUUUGGCAUUUGGGGACUUCACAUACUUGGCAAAUUUCGGGUUUUUAAUGUAACCACACAUGCAAGACUUCUGCUGCUUGAGCUUGCUACAACACAUUGGUGGUGGUGGUAUUCCAUAGGUGAUCGAUUUCAAGCAUGGCAGAAGCUGUGAGGGAUCACAUUUUGUCGGCUUUGCCUCCUCCGCGCUCUGUGUCACGCCAACCACAAGUGCUAGCACCAACAAUGGAAGUGCAAUGACGGCUAAGAACUUCUUCAUCUUUCAAAUAAUUGGAUGAUUUAGAAAAGUGUGAUAUUUCGUACUAUUUAUACAUGCUUGAAGUGGUUACGUGAACGGAUGAGGAUUAAAAUAACACAUUCAUAACGCAUGAAGAAUUUUGAUCUAACGACAUAAGAUAGAAAUAAAAUAAGGAUUCUAUUACACGUGAAUUUGAAGGCCAUAUAUCUAUCAGAAUUCUAAAUCUUAUGUAUUUAUUUUUCUGUUUUUACGAUUAAUGAAGAAUAUUGGUGAGGAUUUUAAAUUCUUGGCUGAUUCUAUAUACACACCUUUAUAA